UAGCUCAGUUGGUAGAGCAUGGCGCUUGCAACGCCAGGGUUGUGGGGUCGAUUCCCAC
rnacentral:tRNA from 1 species